rnacentral:rRNA from 1 species
GACGAACGCUGGCGGCGUGCCUUAUACAUGCAAGUAGGACGCAGUUGCGAACGGGUGAGUCACGCGUAGGUAACUACCUAUUAGAGGGGGAUAACUAUUGGUACCGAUAGCUAAUACCGCAUACUAGUAGCUGGACCUGCGUUGUAUUAGCUAGUAGGUCGGGUAAUGGCCUACCUAGGCAACGAUACAUAACCGACCUGGGAGGGUGAACGGCCACACUGGGACUUGGACACGGGCCAGACUCCUACGGGAGGCAGCAGUAGGGAAACUUCGGCAAUGGGGGGAAACCUGACCGAGCAACGCCGCGUGAGGGAAGAAAGUUUUCGGGUCGUAAAGCUCUGUUGGUAAGGAAGCGGUACUUAACCAGAAAGGGACGGCUAACUACGUGCCAGCAGCCGCGGUAAUAC